rnacentral:rRNA from 1 species
AGGACGAACGCUGGCGGCGUGCUUAACACAUGCAAGUCGAGCGGAAAGGCCCUUCGGGGUACUCGAGCGGCGAACGGGUGAGUAACACGUGAGUAAUCUGCCCCUAGCUCUGGGAUAGCUCCGGGAAACCGGGAUUAAUACCGGAUAUGACCACUUUAGACAUCUGCUGUGGUGGAAAGAAUUUCGGCUAGGGAUGAGCUCGCGGCCUAUCAGCUUGUUGGUGGGUAACGGCCUACCAAGGCGACGACGGGUA